UACGUAGGUGGCAAGCGUUGUCCGGAAUUAUUGGGCGUAAAGAGCGCGCAGGCGGUCGUUCAAGUCGCGUGUGAAAGCCCCCGGCUCAACUGGGGAGGGUCACGCGAUACUGAUCGACUCGAAGGCAGGAGAGGGUAGUGGAAUUCCCGGUGUAGUGGUGAAAUGCGUAGAUAUCGGGAGGAACACCGGUGGCGAAGGCGGUUCUCUGGGCCUUACCUGACGCUGAGGAGCGAAAGCGUGGGGAGCGAACAGG
rnacentral:rRNA from 1 species